rnacentral:lncRNA from 1 species
UUACGCGACUUCAUGAGAUCAAACAUAAGGAGAGAUACAGCUACAUAAAAAUAAUGACUGGCUCGGCUAUGCUGGGAAAUUGCAGCUUAAUAAUGGGGCUACACUAAUCAUCAACUUGAUGUAUUUAUAAUGACAAAUCAAACUUGUCGUUUUCAAUGGACAAGAGCAGUUUGAAAUCGUUGUUCCCCUCCUCAAAAGCCUCAAAGAAGACACACGUUAAUUUCCAUCAUCAGAGGUGACAAGCUUGCCUUUAUUUCUUCCAGAUAGAUUCUUGAAUUACCGGUACUUUAUUCCAAUGUAAUCCCGUGCUGGAAAACGGUAUUCGGAAUCAAUAAUAUUAAUGUACAUUUGAUUUAUUUUCCUAAUAGAAAUGAACUAAUGUAUCGUUCUUGACAAGCUGAUACUCAAAGCUCAAAAUGGAAAAAAGUCACUAAAAUCCAAUCCAUUCAAAGUGAAAGCAUCUUAUUAUAAUAUAUGUUGCAUACUGGGUUCUGACAUCACGACCACAAAAACUGUUAGUCAUUUGACCGACAGAACUACAGGCUAGCAAUGACUCAGUUCCAAGCGGGUGUGAAUCUUUAGUAAAUUGUUGCUUCGUUAUCUUGUCAUAUUUGUUCCUUUCCUUAGUAAAAAAGCAAUGUCAGCCAUGCACCACAUGACCUGUAAGUAGGUGAGAGAUUACCGGAACUCAAUAUUUCUGCGUACAUCGCUCACCGUGUGCAAUAUUAACUUUUUUUUACUUUAGUUUCCCAGCUUGGCUCAUAAUGUUCAAGGGCAACAAAUGGUUGUUUACAACCUUUUGGAAACAUGAAUACUGGAGGGCCAUAAUAAAGUAGGAAAAAAAUAUAAUCCUUGGAAUUUCUGGCAAGAAAGUUUGGUACAAGUUAAAAAUUACUUGAAUUAGCGAAUCUCGCCCAUUCCACGCCUUUAAAAUGCUAUGGACUCGUUUAAGUAGGCCUACUUCCUCCGUGUCAGUAAUCUCAUUUUUGACGGCGGUCAGGGUCAUCUCCUCCUCUCUCUCUCUUUUGUUCUAUACUUCAAUUUCCUUUUUGUGACCCCAGCCCCCGAAUAUGCGUGGCUGAUAUGGGUACUUUCAGUUCUGGUAAUUUGGUACCAAUUUACAUACUCUGUAUGUGCCAUUUUGCGCCCAGGGACGUAGCGCCCGAACUUCACUUGCGCUGGGAUCUCACCCGUGAACACCGUGUAACUCAAGCCUUUCUCGCAACUUCGUUUCAUUUAUCAAAUAUCAUUUGUAUCCAACUUAGUUUGUUGGAAUACAUUGAAAUUCGUUGUAUUCGAAAUACAUUGAAAAACUUCCGCCUGGGUCGAAGUUGUAGGUCCCAGUUGUAAACUUUAAUGACAGGGAAAGUAGGACACACUAAAUGAAAAAGAUCACUUUUCCAGAUAAAAGAGAGGGACUUGAAUUUCAUCAUGGAAAUUGACACUGCGAAUGGGAUGUGUGAAGGACACGCACCCGAGUAGAUGGGUUUUAGGGCUUAGCGAUAUCUGUACAAACGCGAAUUCCGUCUGUCAGCAAGUUGCAUCCGGUAGUAACCGUAAUGGACUUUCGGUUUGUAUAUCACCUGCGGUUUUGUAAAGUAUAAAAGUAGCAUAGGCCUACUACUUUUGAACGAUUCAUUUUCACUGUUACCGACCAGAUACUGAAGCCCAGUACAGCCAAAACAACAUUGCGCUGACGAGAAAUCUGGAAAUAUCUACUGUAUUUAUUUUGACCAAGACUGAUUGAAAUUCCUGCGACACAAUGAAGCUGUUAUUGGUCAAUUUUGUCCUGGUUAUGGGUUUGAUUGCUGGUACUAUAAUGAACAGCGAAGCAGCUAGUCUACGAGGAUUUAUCGACGCAAACGCCCAACAGUAUUUACUUCGUGAAGCACGCGGAGCGCCGAAAGUGCCAAGAUGUUGCCCACAGAUGUACUGCUCG